CAAAACAAUGUUCUCAAAAUGCUUGUGAUUCUAAAACUGGAAAGUGUUUCACCUGCCUACCUGGUUAUAAAGGCGACUUUUGUAAUAUAAUUUGUGAGUCUACACAUUAUGGUCAAAAUUGUUCAAGCACCUGUAGUCCAUCAUGUAUUGACCAAUUGUGUGACCGGCAUGAUGGACACUGUCUAAGUUGUAACAAAACAAUGUAUGGCAAGCAAUGCAAAG
rnacentral:sRNA from 1 species